GGGCUCUUAGCUCAGCUGGUAGAGCGCCUCGUUUGCACCGAGGAGGUCAGGAGUUCGACUCUCCUAGAGUCCA
rnacentral:tRNA from 1 species